UUUAGGUUGGUGAAAAAGUAAUUGUGGUUUUUGCCAUUGAAAAUAAUAACAAAAAACACAUUUACUUUUGCACCAACCCAAUA
ensembl:miRNA